GACGAACGCUGGCGGCGCGCUUAACACAUGCAAGUCGAACGGAAAGGGCCUGCUCUUGUGGGUAUCUCGAGUGGCAAGCCGGUGUAACACGUGUGCAAAAUCUGCCCUUCACUUGGGUAUAAAUUCGGGAAACUGGGGAUUAUCCCAGACAUCAGCUCCUGCUCCAGGAAGGGGGGAGGAAGGUCUCGGCGGGAGGGGAUGGACUCGCGGCUUGUCAGCUUGUUGGUGGGGUAGGGGCUUACCAAGGCUUUGACGGGUAGCGGGCCUGAGAGGGUGACCGGCCAGAUUGGGACUGAGACACGGCCCAGACUCCUACGGGAGGCAGCAGUGGGGAAUAUUGCACAAUGGGCGGAAGCCUGAUGCAGCAACGCCGCGUGCGGGAUGAAGGCCUUCGGGUUGUAAACCGCUUUCGGCAGGGACGAAGCGAAAGUGACGGUAACGGGUAAAGAAGCACCGGCUAACUACGUG
rnacentral:rRNA from 1 species